GCAGUGUAACAGUAAAGGAAACAAACUAAAAAAAAAAAUUCCCACACAAACUUAGACGAGAAAGAAUAAAAAAAAAGAAAACAAUAACAAAAAGAGAGACACAGAGAGGAACAGAAAAAAGAAGAAACAAAACAAACAAAAGAAGAGCGAGGAGCGAAGACGAGGGGAAAAAAACAAACCCUAACAAAAUAUUCAAAUUACUGAAGACAGGAAGAUAGGAAGGAAGAGGAAGAAUAAGAGGACAAGGAAGAAGGAAGAGGAGACGCAGAAGGGGCAGUAAUGUCUUCAAAAGGGGAUAGAAUAAUGUCUCAGAUUCAAGCCAUGCAAUGUCACGUGACCCAACUACGCCAGGAAGCCAGCAUCAGGAGAGUACCAGUCAGCCAGGCGUGUUACGACCUGAUGAAGUACUGCGAGGAGCACCAGAAGGGAGACGUGCUGGUGACGGGGAUUAGCCAGUCUGAGAACCCCUUCAAAGAGAACAAGGCCUGUGUGCUGUUGUGAUGCUGGCCACGACAAGGGAGGCCCCCCCCACACCUGAUACCCCAACCUCCCCAUACACCACCUCCCUCUAAGGCUGCUAGACUCGGACCUUCACCCCCAGCCACCCUAGUCACCCCUCUCCCCCAGCAGGUGUGGAAACAGAAGCUCGGUGCCAUGGAGAGAAAAAAAAAGAAAGAAAGGAAGGAAGGAAAAGAGGAAAGGGAAAUUAAACGUGUGUGAUUAAGUUUUGAAGCAUUUGUCGAGUAUUGGUGUGUGUGUGUGUGUGUGUGUGUGUGUGUGUGUGUGUGUGUGUGUGUGUGUGUGUGUGUGUGUGUGCGUGUGUGUUAUUAAAAACUGCCCUAUUUGCGGUUCAACUCACUAUAAGGUUGUAGAGAGAGAGAGAGAGAGAGAGAGAGAGAGAGAGAGAGAGAGAGAGAGAGAGAGAGAGAGUAUAUUAUGAAAGUCACUCUGCUUAAAUUAAACUAAGAUUGUGUUAUAUCAUCUAAUGUAUUAUUUUAAGAGAGAGAGAGAGAGAGAGAGAGAGAGAGAGAGAGAGAGAGAGAGAGAGAGAGAGAGAGAGAGAGAAUCACCAAAACAUAUAUUAACUUGACACACACACACACGCACAAAUUAACAGGGUAAGCGCAAUUUAUUAUAUCACAUCUAUGCCUUAAAUAGAUAAAUGAAUAGAUAAUUAUACCAUUUUUUAACGAUACCACACAAGGAGAGAGAGAAAAAAAAAGGACUUUGAGUAUUAGUAAAUUUCUAUAGGGAAUAAAAAAAAAGUUAUUAUUAUUAUUUUUUUUUCUAUCAGCAGUGAAUGAGUGAAGGAAUGCGUGUGAGUCUGUUAUAGAAAACGGUUUAAUUUCAAUAGACAUAGACUUUAGGAAUAGGCUUAGAAUUUGUAUUUUUAUUUUUUUGUCAGUUAUAUGUAUAAAAAAAAAUAUAUAAAUUAAGCUUCAGUAUUUUUGAAAGACUUAAAAAAAAUGUAAAAAAAAAACCUAAAUAUGUAUUGUACGUAAUGCUUUAAAAAAAAUGUAUUAUCUUCCUCGUUGAGUGCUGUUCUCGUUGUUGUUGUUAUUAUGACCAUUAUUAUUUAGGGUUUGUUUAGUUUAUAGUGUAUUUUUUUUCUUUCAUUCUGUUUUUAUUUUAUUUUAGAGUGUCAUGUAAGAAAAUUUGUCUUUGCCUAUCAAGAUUGUACUAAA